rnacentral:rRNA from 1 species
AACGAACGCUGGCGGCAGGCCUAACACAUGCAAGUCGAGCGAGCAUUUCGGUGCUAGCGGCGGACGGGUGAGUAACGCGUGGGAACGUGCCCUUUUCUGCGGAAUAGUCCUGGGAAACUGGGGGUAAUACCGCAUACGCCCUUUUGGGGCAAGAUUUAUCGGAGAAGGAUCGGCCCGCGUUGGAUUAGGUAGUUGGUGGGGUAAUGGCCCACCAAGCCGACGAUCCAUAGCUGGUUUGAGAGGAUGAGCAGCCACACUGGGACUGAGACACGGCCCAGACUCCUACGGGAGGCAGCAGUGGGGAAUCUUAGACAAUGGGGGCAACCCUGAUCUAGCCAUGCCGCGUGAGUGAUGAAGGCCUUAGGGUUGUAAAGCUCGUUCAGCUGGGAAGAUAAUGACGGUACCAGCAGAAGAAGCCCCGGCUAACUCCGUG